CAGAGGAGUCGCCCCCUGCUGGUCACUACAGAGAAGUAGAGUCAUUUCCUCAUAGACGUCUAUGGGAGCAGAGGAGUCGCCCCCUGCUGGUCACGCUUUGACUUUCACCAAGUCAUCUCCAAGAAACGACUCACAAACGUUUUAUAUGUCGCCCAAAGUCCCAUUUGAUCGCUUCACGAUCCGGGUCUCGUUGAGGCUCCGCCUCGUAGUCCGGAUUCGGGGAUUAAUCAAGUUUGGAGCGCGACGAUGCAGCAGAAGCACCUGCUGCCCUUUGCUCCGUCUGCUGCCGCUUUCUGGUUGCUAUGCCAACCACAAGGGUUGCUCACGUCUGAGCAUGCUCAGUGCGGCUUCCUUCUCCUCAUAACAAUAGCCAGAGCGAGGGCUCUCUCACACACACACACACUCACACACACUCACACACACAGCUUCAGACGGUAAGUACACAGACCUGCAGAAAAGCAUUGAUCUCCUUCAUGUGAGUCUGUAGCUGCAGAACCAGAGGAAGCAUGUGCUCUUUAUUUAUUUCUUUUAUACAACACCAUUGUUCCACUCCAGGUGUGUGUGUGUGUGUGUGUGUGUGUGUGCGUUGUUUUUAUGAAUGGUGCAUUCUGCUCACUUGGAUGUGUAGUAGUCGACAAAGCAGAGGAGUCGCUCAAUAAUUCAUGUGGAGGGAAGUCAGCAUGUGUAACGCGACGCUUUAUUUCUUACCACGUCCUCCCUUAUUUAUACCUGCAUUAUUAUUCUUUGUUCAGAUCAUGUGACUCUUAAACAGUAGAUCCAGUUGUUAUUAUACUCAUUAUUAUAUUAUCGCUGGAUUCCUGCUGUUGUCUCUGCGUGUAAACUAGAGACGUAACCAUGGCGAUGGGGCUCUAAUCAAUUCGAGCAUGUCAUGUUUGAGUAAAUAGUCAGAGACGUGUCAGUUAUUCAUCAACAAACAAUAAUCCCGCCAGACAACAAAUUAUUAUCUCAGUAUUAAUCCGUCAAAGACUGUCAGACCUCUAGACCUGCAGGCUCCACUUGUAGGUCCUAGACUUGUAGGCUCUAGACUUGUAGGUCCUAGACUUGUAGGUCCUAGACUUGUAGGUUCUAGACUUGUAGGUCCAAGACUUGUAGGCUCUAGACCUGUAGGUUUUAGACUUGUGGGUUUUAGACUUGAUGGCUCUAGACUUGUUGGUCCUUGACUUGUACGCUCUAGAUUUGUAGGCUCUAGUCUUGUAGGCUCUAGAUUUGUAGGCUCUAGACUUGUAGGCUCUAGACUUGUAGACUCUAUCCUUGUAGGCUCUAGACUUGUAGGCUCUAGUUUGUAGGCUCUAGACUUGUAGGCUCUAGUCUUGUAGGCUCUAGAUUUGUAGGGUCUAGACUUGUAGGCUCUAGACUUGUAGACUCUAGCCUUGUAGGUUCUAGACUUGUAGGCUCUAGACUUGUAGACUCUAGCCUUGUAGGUUCUAGACUUGUAGGCUCUAGACUUGUAGGCUCUAUUCUUGUAGGCUCUAGACUUGUAGGUUCUAUACUUGUAGGCUCUAGAUUUGUAGGCUCUAGACUUGUAGGCUCUAUAUUUGUAGGUCUUGGACUUGUAGGUGUUAGAUUUUUAGGUCCUAGACUUGUAGGCUCUAGACCUGUAGGCUCUAGACUUGUAGGCUCUAUAUUUGUAGGUCUUGGACUUGUAGGUGUUAGAUUUUUAGGUCCUAGACUUGUAGGCUCUAGACCUGUAGGCUCCAGACUUGUAGGUCUUAUACUUGUAGGCUCUAGACUUGUAGGCUCCAGACUUGUAGGUCUUAUACUUGUAGGCUCUAGACAGAAGUGUAGACUCAGAACCAGUAGACUCUAGGCUUUUAGACUCUAGACUUGUAUCCUCCUCUUCCCUGAAACCCUGUAAGUAUUGAUUCAGGUCCUCGGAGGCUUGUUAUCAUCAGACUGAUAUAUUAAUAAUGUUAAUAUAAAAUAUUGAUAAACGGAUCUCGAUGCUUCUUCCAUCGGUCAAAUAAAUCUUAGUAGUUACGGGUGAAGAAGAGGUGAACUAGUGUGGACUUAAGAGGUCACAUGAGGCUAAUUCUCCGUAAUCACUGAACCAGUCUGUCUUCCUUAAAAAGAUGCUGGUGUUCUAUUUGCUCCUUUGCUUUGAAGACAAAAGGAGAAGCAGUAAUCUGCUCCAGUGUCAGAGGUCAGCUUCAUUUUGACGUCUGGUGACCAUGUUUUGAGGGAACAGAGCUCAGAGCCUUCAUCAGGUCUCUUCCUCCUCUAUAUAUAUAUAUAUAUAUAUGUAUAUAUAUAUAUCAUCAUAUAUCUAUCUAUCUAUCUAGCUUAUAUAUAUAUAUAUAUAUACUGUAUAUAUGUAUGCGCUUCAUUUCUUCACCUCAUCAAAUGUGUGAGGAUCACAAACCAUCACCUGGGGACUGUAAUCAAUCGGUACCACGGUUACAUCUGGGUGUGUGUGUGUGUCUGUGCCCAGCAGAGUGUGUGUGUGUGUGUGU
ensembl:lncRNA